AUAAUGCUUGCCCCUUCCAACAUAAAUUGACGUGUUUUUGGAUUUUUUCUAAAUACCAGUAUUACAAAAGUUAUUAAAGGUGGAUACUUUUAUCCGAAAAGCACUGUAUACACAGUAAUGGACUUUUUUUCGUCAAAUCCGUCUUAUGUUAGUUCUGAAAUAAAAGGAGUUAAACUUUUUAAGUAAGUAUAUACUUUUAAGUUCCUUUCAUCAACCACAUGGUCUAACUUACAACUAUGAUUUCUAAAUAAAAAACAUUUCAUAAACAGAUUGUAGUUAAGUACUGGUUGUUUGGAUCGUCAUGUUUACAAUACAUACGUGUAUUGCCCACCGUGUUGCAUUGAUGGAAACGAUAUCAAAUGUAUCAAUAUUUUUUCAGGGCCGGUCGAGCAUCUUACAGAGAUGAAGCUAUUGGAUAUGUUCAAGUGAAACGUGAGGGCUCUAAAUGCACAGUGAAAUGCAGAAUUUCACCUGAACAUAAAGUGAAAAGUAAGCCUUAUCACUGCACGUUGGUUUGUAAUGAAAACGAAAGAAUGGUGGAAAGUAUAGUCUGUCAUGAUUGUGCUGCUAAUCAAGGAGGGUGCAAACACACUGUUGCAUUUUUGAUAUGGCUCUUUAAAAGAAGUGAGGAACCUGCCACUACGUCAAUAAAAUGUUACUGGGCCAAACCAGCACUUUCUAAAGUUGGAAGUCAGAUUAAAUUUAUAAAAGCUAAAGAUUUUAAAAACAAAAACUAUUCUGAUUCAAAUAUUACUGAAGAUACAACCUUUUUUAACAAAUUCGUAACGGAAUGUAAAAAUCGUAGAACAGGAAUGUAAAAAUCGUAGAACUAACAACGUGCAAAUAAUGACCUAUUUUAUGGAUACUAACAUUGAAAUGACUGAUUUCUAUAGCUCAUGAAGCAUCGAAAUGUAAUACUGAGGAUGGUGUACUUGUAGAAAAAAUUUUAGGAGCUUAUCAAUUUAAAGAACCAUUUGCUAUACAAAGAGGUAAACUUCUUGAAGACCAAGUUAGAGCACACAUAGAAACUGUUAAAAAAGUCAAGAUCGGAAAGUGCGGUCUUUUUUUGUCCAAGGAACAUCCUAUGUUAGGGGCCUCUCCUGACGGCAUAACAGAAGAACAUACUAUUGAAAUUAAAUGUCCACUGAAAACUGAAACCAUGAAAAAAUACAUCAACAAUGCAAAAUGUGAAGCUCAAGUACAACUACAAAUGCAUUUCGCGAAUAAAUCAAAAGCCUUUUUUUGCAUUGCUCAUGCAGAUUUUGAGACAUCUCAAAAAGUUGAUGUUUAUGAAAUUUUUUAUAAUUUAGAUUAUUGUAGAAAAAUAAUUAGUGAAUAAUGUACAUUAUUUUGGAAGCAUAUUUUUGAUAAAAUGAUUAAAUAAAACUCAAUAAGCUUUGA